AUUCCAGCUCCAAUAGCGUAUAUUAAAGUUGUUGCAGUUAAAAAGCUCGUAGUUGGAUUUCUGGGAGGGUGCCAAUGUCCGCCGAGUGCGUGCGCAGCGGCGCCCUUCCAUCCUUCUGUUAACGCCUCUUGGCAUUCAUUUGCUGGUGGCGGGCUCAGAUAUUUUACCUUGAGAAAAUUAGAGUGUUUCAGGCAGGCUAGGCCGGAAUACAUUAGCAUGGAAUAAUGGAAUAGGACUACGGUCUCUUUGUUGGUUUGAGGGACUGCAGUAAUGAUUAAUAGGGAUAGUUGGGGGCAUUAGUAUUUAAUUGUCAGAGGUGGAAUUCUCGGAUUUGUUAAAGACUAACUUAUGCGAAAGCAUUUGCCAAGGAUGUUUUCAUUG
rnacentral:rRNA from 1 species